rnacentral:rRNA from 1 species
AGUGAACGCUGGCGGUAGGCCUAACACAUGCAAGUCGAACGGCAGCACAGUAAGAGCUUGCUCUUACGGGUGGCGAGUGGCGGACGGGUGAGGAAUACAUCGGAAUCUACUUUUUCGUGGGGGAUAACGUAGGGAAACUUACGCUAAUACCGCAUACGACCUACGGGUGAAAGCAGGGGAUCUUCGGACCUUGCGCGAUUGAAUGAGCCGAUGUCGGAUUAGCUAGUUGGCGGGGUAAAGGCCCACCAAGGCGACGAUCCGUAGCUGGUCUGAGAGGAUGAUCAGCCACCCUGGAACUGAGACACGGUCCAGACUCCUACGGGAGGCAGCAGUGGGGAAUAUUGGACCAUGGGCGCAAGCCUUAUCCAGCCAUACCGCGUGGGUGAAGAAGGCCUUCGGGUUGUAAAGCCCUUUUGUUGGGAAAGAAAAGCAGCAGGUUAAUACCCCGCUGUUCUGACGGUACCCAAAGAAUAAGCACCGGCUAACUUCGUG